rnacentral:tRNA from 1 species
CUAGCGUGGCAGAGCUCGGCAAAUGCAA